CCUUUAAGAAACUUCAAGUUGGCUUCCAUGAGAACUAUCACUUACUAAUAUACCAGAUAAAAUACACUUAAUCUCUAACACCUCUUGCACCAUGCCAUUGAACGUUCCUUCGAGCACUUGCCUCGCUUGCUCACAAGCUUGUAGUUUCGAAACCAAUUCCGCCUUACUUAAUGCUGGUCCUUGCAAUGUCUCUAAUUCCCCACAUACAUAUCUGGAGAUAAAAAACCGUUGCGAAAUUACUAACCAAAAACACUAUCCAGAACAAUCAAUAUAGAUGUUCAUUUGUACCAAAAAAAUCAAGUAACAACCAGUAAAUAUUUUCUCUUCACUCAUGAGACACCAUCACAAGUCCUUAUCAUUCUUCACCAAUGACUACAAUGCCUCGUGAUGUUACUUUUAAGGUGGACCAUCCGUUCUACAAAAAACAUUAAUGGUUUAUAUGUCAGUACAUAUAAAAGAACUAGCAAAGAGGAUAAUAUCAUAAAGGAACAAGUUUCCACUUGAAUUCUUCAAUAGUCCUUAUCCUUGUGCGACAAAGGCAAACUAUUUUAAGCAAAUAUUAAUUGGAAUGUUUCUUUUCUAAUUCAAGCAAAACUAGAGUUAUUCUAUUUCUCAGGAAAAAAUGAACUUUUUUGGUUGUUGUUAUAUACCCAACUAAUUUUUUAACACAUAUACCCAACAAAUUAAAACCAAAUAUUAUUCUCAUCUGCUUAAAAAAACUACCAUUCUUCUCAAGAGUGAGUGAUAUACAUACCUCAAAACGGCCUCCUGGCUUUUCUUUGUCACCCUGGAGGAGAAGAGGAGCUUCAAAGUGGUGAGCAUAUGAAAAACAGAGCACGCAAGGAGACAUCAAUUUUGGAGAAGUUUAAGCUUACAAGAAAAACUGACAAUUACCUUGCCCUGGAGCAUGGGAACUGCACAAUGGACCAUGUACUGAGCGUCUACAAUGGCAAUCUACUCUUUGGGAUUCUAACAAAUUAGAUCAAAAGUGAAAAAAAGUAUACAUUAGGUAUACACGACUAUAUAUUGCACAUGAUAUCUUUUUACACAUUGUUGCUCAAUAAUUAGGCUAUGCUUACAUUGACACAUCUCCAAAUGUAGGAGUCAAUAGGCCAUCGAUUGAUGAGGUCAUUCUGAAAAUCAAACUCGUUAACUCUUCUUUUCAGUUCACACAAGCCAAAAUUAUCAAUCAUGUACAUACAAGUUAAAAAUAAUCAGCAGCCAAACACAUUGUCCUCACUUUCAGAUCAGGCAAGUAAAAAAACGUCUUUGUUCUGAGAAGUGUAUGCACGUACCUAUAUCAGUGCCACACGCAUCUCCAAGCAUCCCUUCACAAGACUGGCACCAUCACCUCCACAAACCUGCAUCCAGGUUUACAUCUUCACUUUCAAAUUGAAAAAUCUCAAACAAAAAUGGUCAGAGUGAAGAAUUUAGCUAGUUAAUUACCUGCUACACUGCAGCCUUUGCACGUCCCGACAAAGCUCGUUCCCAAUAUCUGUCCUCUUCAUGCCAUGCGAGAGACUACAACCCGAAUUCAACCUCUGUUUUCGCAAUGAGCAGCAGCUGCACCCUUUCUCCGUCCUAACGAGUCCUGCAUCGUAUCCGCCUCUGCCUUCCCCUCCCAUCUAAAGACCUGAAUAAGAACUGCUGGGAAACCAUUAGCGAUCCACUCCAAAUAUCCCGAGCCCGCUACGAGAUACGGCCGAUGCGGUAGCAACACUGACCUCAUCACCGAGCUAGAUCCGACCAACACGUAGGAGUAUUGACCUCAUCACUGAACUACUAGAUCCGAUGGAUGCGGAACUGACCUCGGCGUUGAUCCUCUGGACCCCGUUGCGCUGCUCGUCGAGCACCUGACAAGGGAUCCGGUCCACUCGGACGACCUCGGCAGCGAGCGUUGGUCCUCUGCUCCACUCGGACGACCUCGGCAGCGAGCGCAUCUUGGUCGGCGUCCUGCGAUGAGGAGGCGAGGGGACGACAUGGGCAUGCGGCGUUCGUGGCGGUGGCGGCUGCGGGGGCGAGCGGCUCAAUCUGAGAGGGGAUGCGCCACCGUGGUUUACCUAGACGCGAGACUGUAGGGAUAGUUAGAAGUGACUUUUAUUUAUCUUCCUUUUAUCUCCCUCGUUUCACCAGAUAAGGAUGGUAAUUACUCUAAAAAAUAAAAGUAUCAAAUAUAUGGAGUAUUAAUCAACUACAGCCACCAAACUAACGACCGGCAUAUCCAUCGCUGUUCGGGAGGUUUCGUGGGGUUAGUUUAAAUGUGGGACUAGCUCAUCGGAAGAAUAACAACCAAGACUUUUAGAUGUUGGUCGUUAUUGGCUUAAUUUCUAGUAGUGUCACUAGGAAGCGAGCCCUUUGACUUCCAUGGCCGCCCGCCUUGCUCGCAUCCUCUCCAUUAAUGGCGCCCGAGCUGCUGUUUAAUACGGGCAGCCUUACUAUUCACCUCCCAUUCCCCUCCCUCCCGCAGACCUCUCACUACUAGGAAAACGAUUUUUAACGAUGGUAUAUGUGGUCGUUAAAGGUCGGAUCGUGGUCAUUAAAGGUCAUUAACGACCACAAUCUGCUGGUCGUAGUAGGCUCCGUCGUUAAAAGUAUAACGACCACAUACCUUUUGUGGUCGUUAUUCUUGUAACGACGAGAUGGUGUGCGGUCGUCAAUCCCAUGGAAAUAACGACCACAAUUGUCGUCGCUAAUAAUGUUAUCAUGUUGACCAAAGUAUCAUUAGCGACCACUCUCUUCACACAUUGAUAUCCUUCAGAACCACUUAUAUUUAGUAUAAUUUUGCGUUGAACGAUCACUUUAUGCAGCAUCCAACAUUUCAAUAUUAACAUCCAUAUUAAUAUAAAAACAAGAGAAUAUGGUUUGAAAGGAUCAUAGCCUCUUUUAUUAAUAAAAAUACCAAUAUUCUGACAUACAUUAAAAUAUCCUUUAAGAACCUUCAAGUUGGCUUCCAUGAGAACUAUCACUUACUAAUAUACCAGAUACAAUACACUUAAUUUCUAACACCUCUUGCACCAUGCCAUUGAACGUUCCUUCGAGCACUUGCCUCGCUUGCUCACAAGCUUGUAGUUUCGAAACCAAUUCCGCCUUACUUAAUGCUGGUCCUCGCAAUGUCUCUAAUUCCCCACAUACAUAUCUGGAGAUAAAAA
rnacentral:lncRNA from 1 species